UACGAAGGAUGCAAGCGUUAUCCGGAUUCAUUGGGUUUAAAGGGAGCGUAGGUGGCCUUAUAAGUCAGUGGUGAAAUCUCUGGGCUUAACCCAGAAAUUGCCAUUGAUACUGUAGGGCUUGAGUAUAGUUGCCGUUGGCGGAAUAUGACAUGUAGUGGUGAAAUACAUAGAGAUGUCAUAGACACCGAUGCGAAGGCAGCUGACGAAACCAUAACUGACACUGAGGCUCGAAAGUGCGGGGAUCAAACAGG
rnacentral:rRNA from 1 species